UAGAGUCUCCGCCUUGCGCUUCGGCGGGGUGCUAAGGCGUGGGUCCCUUCACCCGCCCUAUGAGAAAUAAAAGUUGUGUUGCUGCCGUGGUCCCGCGGUAGAGUCUCCGCCUUGCGCUUCGGCGGGGUGCUAAGGCGUGGGUUCGAGACCUAUCAGUUACCAUGGGGGUGGAAAGGUGGGCUCUCUCCGACACCCUCCGCCCCGUUGUUGGGCCUCCUUGAAAGAAUUGGGCAUCUCUCCACCAGCCGUCUGGGUGGUUGCGCGGCAUGCUGCGCCUUCCUCCAUUGGGGUAUAUCCCCAACUAAAUACCAAAAAAAAUAAAUAAAUAAAUAAAUAAAAUAAAAGUCGCCUCAGUAAAAAAACUACUAUAUAUUAACUCUCAAAUAAUUGCAGGUUUUCGGCUUUAAGUCGUCCACCGUGGGCAGUCCAACACCUGUAAGGUACGAAAUAAAAAUGGCAGUCAGUUAUAAUCGAACUGGUGAGCUCCAGGGAGAGGAUGUCUGCCACCGACUAAGUGCUGGUGAGUAGCUAAGUAUAUUUUUGGUGAGCAGCUUGAGCAUAAAUUAUGAGAUUAAUGGCGGCCACUAAGGUGAAAAAGCUACCAAGGCGAAACGUGGACACAACCUAGAGGCAUAUCUGGAUCAUAAAGGUGAAGCCAGACAAAUCACAUUGGUGGAACGUGGACACAUCCAGUCUAGAUUAAUAAAGCUAUGAACCAUUUAGUAUUAAAAUAUAAGCGUACUGUAUAGUCUUACGUUAUGGUCUAAAUUUAUUAAAAGAUGACAAAUUUAGCCUAAAGGACAAACACUAGCUACAUUUACUAGUAUUAAAGUUUAAGCUAGGAUCCUAAACUUAAUCUGUUUUAAUUUUCAACAAGAGACAAAGCCCAACAUUAAAGACAACGACAGAUGACAUUUACUAAACAUAUCACACGGAUGUUGGACCUUAACAAUCUAGUGACCCUUUCCAACAUGAAGGCAAGCCUCCAGCAGGACCUGUUCUGGCUUCAGACGACCCUCCCUCAACCUUCAUAUACUCUUGGUGUCCACCAUCACGCAAGUGUAUACCGACUUAAUACCUCCAUGGUACCGACAGACAAGGUGUGGGGGAUAUCGGCGACACAUCGACUUACCAGGAUUUCUACUGGCUCUUUUACGACAUACUUAAUGAGGUCAAAGGGUUUGCGCUUCCCUCCAAGAUGGUCACGGUGGAAUCCAUCCCGAUAGUACAGAUGCUCCUCCCCAUUGCCCCGCCACAGGAGUGAGAGGAACUGACCUGAACAUCGCCUUCCUGCCUUGCUGUAACGAAAGCCAUUGCUGCUGGCCCUGCUGGAGAAAGUCUACCUCCCCUUAAUUGCUGCUGGCCCUGCUGGAGAAAGUCUACCUCCCCUUAAUUGCUGCUGGCCCUGCUGGAGAAAGUCUACCUCCCCUUAAUUGCUGCUGGCCCUGCUGGAGAAAGUCUACCUCCCCUUAAUUGCUG